CAGUCUACAGUGAUUUGCCAUUGUAUAGUGGCUUGAUUGCUGUCUUGACUGCAUGCACAGCUAACACAGGCUUACCUGAUAGCAGUCGUCCAAUUAAUUAAGUAUGCUGGUAGCAACCGUAGGUAAUUAGCUAGUUUUUAUGGGCAAAGAUGCAUAUUUUAUGCUGUGGGGCAAAUUACUUGCAUUUUGACAUCUGAAAGGUUAACUUAACCCAAGUAUAGGUGACAAUUUCUGUUGUGCUGUUUAGCACUGCCAUUGUCCUGCAGUUUGUAUUCAGGCGAGAGACCUAUUGGCUCCCACAGUUUGAGCGUGAGGAUAGUAGUAGUAGGAUUGGGUCCUACGUUGAACCUGCACCAACUGCAAAAGACUGUGCUACUUCAUUUGGUGGCGUCUGUUGGAGCAGAUUAUUUUUAAAAAGUCUAAAAAAAUUCCUAUAAAAUAGGAUUUAGCCAAGAAGCUUACUUGCCAAUCUGCUCCUUUUAAAGACUGACAUGGUGUUCCUACAGUUAGACACAGAGGUAGCUGUUUUUGUUGGUUCAAUUAUCUUUCCUCUGCUUUUUUAUUUUCAGUGCAGAAAAUGUACGGAGAAUUCCCUCCCCGUUGGCUUUUGUUUCCUCUCCCUCCCUGCAUUUAGCACUUCCUGCAUCUUGCUAUUCUUCCAAGUGCUUUGGGCUCAAAAUACACUGGUACAGGUCUUGUGAUUUCUGCAAGCUGCUGCAGUUUUGAGCUACAAUUAGAUAAAAUCUAGCUUUAGCUUUUGUGCGGGAAAUGAGGAAGCCCGUUCUGCUUUAGUACUAAGGUUUCUCUCCUCUUCCCCCCCGCCCCUGCUGCCUGACCCCGUCGCCACGUUUUAAACAUCCUCUACAGUGGAAGAAAAUCAAUGCUAAGAAGUGAGACUUAAACUUGCCAGUUGUUAUGAACUAUUUGGCAACUCCACCAUUCCCUCAUGAAGAAAACCAGGGCGUUCCAGACAACCGAGCGGCAUCCCAGAAGGAAAAUACUUGCGUCUCUUUGGCUUCUCCGAAUUAAACUAGUUCUUGUUCAUCAGCAACUUGGCUUGACAGCUUACACACACCCACAUCACUGCCCAGCAGAGAUGAUUUUCCUGCUUUGGACACUAAUGAACAGCUGCCUAGGCCUACCCCACCAGCAGCCAUCGCAGCACCAAAAUGCGCGCUGCCAGGGUCCACAAUAGUCCCAUGUGUCGAACCUUUAUGUCUCACCAGAGAGGUCUCUUUUCUCCAGUAUCAUUUAAACACCCUGUCCCUCAGCCACCAAACAGCUCCUCAACUGCUCCAACUUUUCGGCCAUUUUUCUUCACUGGAACUUUCCCAUAUAAUAUGCAAGAACUGGUGCUUCAGGUAAAGGGUCAGACCCACUGGCAAAAAUUACUUCCUUGAAUUUUAAUUAGACCGACAAGAAUUGACUUAUCAGGAUCUGCUCCGAGUGAGUUGCCGUGAAUUGGAUGAGACUCCAGAGCACGUGGAAAAGAUUAGGAAGUUACCUGAUACUCUAGUAAGUAAGGACAAAGAUGCUGCAAGACUUCAGGACUUCCAAGAACUGCAGCUGGUUCUAGUGCAGUGACAACUCUUUUAGAAACCCUGCAUCAACACCGACAAAGGUCUUGUUACAAUAGUAAAGCAUCCAAGCUUAUGUACUGACCUUCCUCAGCAUAUCUAGCAUGUGAACAGCUCAAUCAUAUGCAACUGUCUUUUGAAGGGAGAGACCCACCUGUGUGUGAGACCUUAAGUUACUGUUAGGAUUAAUAUUGUAAUAGUUUAUCUUUGAUAUUUAAUAUCCCUGUUGCCUUUUUAUAUUAUAUUCUAUUUAGAUACAGGAUACUACUAAAGCUGACACGUUUCAGAUAUAACAAGCUAUGUGUAUUUGGCAACAGAAGGCAGAAAAAAUCUUGGAAACUGUUGAUAUCAAAAGUGACUACUCCGUCUCUGCUCUUACUAAAGUCUGCUGGAAGUCAGGCACAGUUGGAUAUAAAUCUCACUUCCUGCAUCAGUGCCACUCUUGACAUCAUUUGCUGUACAGAACUGUUCUCUGAAAACAAAUUGUGUUUCUGGGUUGCAGCUUCAUCUCCAGGUCCGCAGGACCUUCCAACAGAGAUGUAAGGGCUAGGGCUAGAGGCCUGAAGGUCUUGGUUUUCCCAUCUCCUUUGUCUCUCCACAAACAAGGCCUUUUAAUUAUUAAAAAGGAUGUAGCUUCCAGUCAGCAGUUGAAAGUGGGGUCUAGAAGUCUGACCAUAUUCACUGAAUCACUAGUCUUACUGGAGGCAACAUGUGGUGUGUGUUAGAGCAGUAAUAUUCAAGAACUGGUGACUUCUGUUGGCUAACAACCAAACAGGGUAAGCCUAAGACUCAUGUCAAACCAUGUUUACUGAACACUUCCAUUUCCUCCCCCCACUUAAAAGGAAUUGCAUAAUUAACAUGAUUUCAGUAACAAAUAUGCAACUUAAUGAUUUAAAAAAAAGGUAAAAAUUUUACAAGUUUGGGAAUAAACCUGGAAGCACCCUUAUAUGUAAAGCUGAACUCCACCCCUGAACAUCUUCAAGUUCUUCACAAGACAUGGAAGUUUGUGGGCGCAACAGCUGGAAGGAAAGCUGCCAGGGAUGAAUGGUGGUUUGUUUUAAACAGCUACUUAAUGAGUGGCCCUUUACCAGACACUAAUCACUGCUUUUGGCCAAUGGUUCAAGUGUUAGUAAUUUUAGAAACAUGCCUUUUCCUUGAAUCAGCCUAUCACAGCACAGAUCAGGAAAGCUGAGUUAAUUUCUGUGGCACAGGUAACAGAAGCAGGAUAACAGAAGAUGCGUUUUGUUCAUUAAAGUGGAAGUAUUUUAGCUUUAGAGAACUUGGCAUUUGACUAGCCAAACCAAAUAAAGAUGCAUAGAUGGGGAGAAGUGAGGCAACUAGCACCAUGUACAUGGGGUUCUUAAAAGCCUACCUUCUUUAUGCAUCUCCCCCACCUGUGGCUCUCCAUAGCACCACCUGACUGCACUUUUAAAUGGCAACCAACUUCAGUCAAAUAAUUAAUCAAAACAGCUGAAUGUUUCUAGGUGCUUCAUGUCCAUGUGUUAAAAAGAACAAACAAGCAAAUAGUCAUGUGGCUCUAACUCUGAAGCAAGACUUGCAUGAAGACCAUCUAGGUUAGGGACAGAAGUUGCAUACAAACCAGUUUAAGUGAUCAGAAACUGGAUUAAACCUGGA